rnacentral:rRNA from 1 species
UGGGGAAUUUUGGACAAUGGGCGAAAGCCUGAUCCAGCCAUGCCGCGUGAGUGAAGAAGGCCUUCGGGUUGUAAAGCUCUUUUAGUCGGAAAGAAAGAGUUGCAAUGAAUAAUUGUGAUUUAUGACGGUACCGACAGAAAAAGCACCGGCUAACUACGUGCCAGCAGCCGCGGUAAUACGUAGGGUGCGAGCGUUAAUCGGAAUUACUGGGCGUAAAGGGUGCGCAGGCGGUCUUGCAAGUCAGAUGUGAAAGCCCCGGGCUUAACCUGGGAAUUGCGUUUGAAACUACAAGGCUAGAGUGCAGCAGAGGGGAGUGGAAUUCCAUGUGUAGCAGUGAAAUGCGUAGAGAUGUGGAAGAACGCCGAUGGCGAAGGCAGCUCCCUGGGUUGACACUGACGCUCAUGCACGAAAGCGUGGGGAGCAAACA